rfam:Anas platyrhynchos breed Pekin duck contig23312, whole genome shotgun sequence.
CCAAAGGCUCUUUUAAGAGCCACCCACCUUUUCACUGGUUUUCAGU